rnacentral:rRNA from 1 species
GACGAACGCUGGCGGCGUGCCUAACACAUGCAAGUCAAGGGUAGCAAUACACUGGCGCACGGGUGAGUAACGCGUAGGUCAUCUGCCUCUAUCCGGAACAAAACGGCGGGAAACUGUCGCUAAUAUUCCAUGAGGCCGGGAGGUCAAAGUAGCAAUAUGGAUAGAGAUGAGCCUGCGUCUGAUUAGCUAGUUGGUAGGGUAAAAGCCUACCAAGGCGACGAUCAGUAGCUGGUCUGAGAGGACGAUCAGCCACACUGGAACUGAGACACGGUCCAGACUCCUACGGGAGGCAGCAGUGAGGAAUAUUGCUCAAUGGCCGCAAGGCUGAAGCAGCAACGCCGCGUGAGGGAUGAAGGAUCUAUGGUCUGUAAACCUCUGUAGAGAAGGAAAAUAAUUCAUUACAUGAAUAUGAUAGUACUUUUAGAGUAAGCCCCGGCUAACUACGUGCCAGCAGCCGCGGUAAUUCUCGCG